rnacentral:misc_RNA from 1 species
UGCAUCUGCCACUUUAUUUUCAAUUCCCUUCCUAUACAGUAUCUUAUAGUUCAACCCUAACAAUUUAGAAAUACCCUUCUGCUGCAAAUUAGUAUGUAACCUCUGCUCAAGUAAGUAUUUUAUACUUUCAUGAUCAGUUUUAAUAAAGAACUGACCCUGUUCUAGGUAAUGUCUCCAUUCACUCACUGCAAAAGUGAUAGCUAGCAAUUCCUUCUCAUACACAGAUAAAGCCUCACUCUUAGGCCCAAAAGCCUUAGAAAUGAAGGCAAUAGGAUGCCCUUGCUGUUGCAACACUGCUCCCAUUCCCCAAUUACUAGCAUCUGUCUCAAUUACAAAUGGCUUAGAAAAAUCUGGCAAAGCUAAAACUGGAGCUGUAGACAUUAAUUCCCUAAGCUUCUCAAAAGCCUUUUGAGCAAUAGCAUUCCAGUGAAAUGAAUCCUUCUUUAAUAGAUCAGUUAGAGGCAGACAAAUAACCCCAUAAUUUUUGAUAAAUUUCCUAUAAUAGCCUGUAAGUCCCAAAAAAACUCCUGAGAUCCUUGACUGAAAUAGGAAUAGGCCAAUUUACCAUAGCACCAAUCUUUUUUGGAUCAGUAGCAACCCCCUGUCUUGAGAUGAUAUGCCCAAGAUAUUCAAUUUCAGUUUGCCCAAAGAAACAUUUAGAUUGUUUAGCAAAAAGAUGUUGGGCCUGUAGCACCUCAAACACUUGUCCCAAAUGCUCCAAAUGGCUCUCCAUAUCCCUACUAUAAACCAAGAUAUCAUCAAAAAAUACCAGUACAAAUUUCCUUAAGAAAGGUUGGAAAAUGUGAUUCAUUAAGGCCUGAAAUGUAGCAGGGGCAUUAGUGAGCCCAAAAGGCAUCACUUUAAAUUCAAAAUGCCCAUGGUGUGUCCUAAAAGCAAUCUUAGGAAUAUCAUCCACCUUCAUCCUUAUUUGAUGGUAACCAACCCUCAAAUCUAUCUUAGAAAAGAUCACAGCCCCAUGCAAUUCAUCUAGCAAAUCAUCAAUAAUAGGGAUUGGAAACUUAUCCUUAACUGUCAAGUCAUUAAGUCUCCUAUAGUCAACACAAAAUCUCCAUGUCCCAUCUUUCUUCUUCACUAAAAGAACAAGAGAAGAAUAGGGGCUAGUGCUAGGUUGAAUGAUGGAAGAGGAGAGCAUAUCUUUUAUCAAUGUUUCAAUCUCUGUCUUCUGGUAAUGGGGGUAUCUGUAAGGCCUAAUAUUAACAGGCUGAGCAUCAUGCUUUAGAGGAAUAGCAUGAUUGUGACUUCUAAAAGGUGGUAACCCUUGAGGCUCUUCAAAAAUGCUGCUAUAUUUCUGGAGUAAUUGUUGCAGUCUCUCAUCACACCCAAAAUUGGAAGUAGCUGAUAGCAGGGAGUGGUCAGAAUGCAUAACACAGAACAAAGGAGUUUGAAAAUCCUCACCAUCUUUCCUCAAUAUAUUGGCAGAAUACCAAAGCCCAGACUGCAGCUUACCCUCUCCAAUGCCAUGCAAAACUACUGAUCUUCCUUCCACAGUAAUAGUAAUUGUUGAUGCCUCAAAGUCAAAUAGUACUGGAUUAUGCUUCUUUAACCAAUCCACUCCUAAUAUCAUAUCAAAACCCCCUAAUUCCAAAAUCUUCAAAUCAAAAUUAAACUCAUUAUUGUCCAUUUUCCAUUUAAAUUGCUGACAUUGUAAAUCACACCCUAACUUCCUCCCAUCUGCCACUGUAAUAGCAGUGUAUGGUGUUGAAACCAACUCCAAUUUCAAUUCUUUAGCUAUUCUUUUGUCAAGGAAACUGGUGGUACUACCACUGUCAAUUAAUAUCACCAAUUGCCUGUUUUUAUGAAGCCCCAACAUCCUUAUUGUAUCAAUGCCAUGACUACCUUCCAGUGCAUGAACUGACAGAGUAUUGUCUUCCAUAUUUUCCCUUUCCUCCAUCUCCAUUCCUGCUUCAAACCACUCCUCUUCACCUCCAUCAUCAUCCUUCUCCACGGAACAAAUUGCAUUUAAUGAUUUCUGCUUACAUUGAUGCCCUGGAAAAUACUUGUCCCCACAUCUGUAACAUGGUUUAGGCUGAUUCUUAACAGGAUUUGAAAAAGAAUUUGUUGGUUUAUAUACUGAAGAUAAAGUAGAAACAGGCAGUGGAUUGGGUGAGUUGGUACUAGACUGAGUUUUAAUUGUUGUAGGGUUGGGUUUGUCAAAAUUUGGUGGUCUUGGAGGGUUUUGAUAGGUCUGAUAUGGCUUGGCAUACUGGUUUGGGUAAUUAGUCUGAUAUGGAGUUAAAGGGACAGUAGAUUGGCUUCUAAAAGGUUUGGAAAAAUUGCUUGUAUUCUUAGGCUUUUUACUGACUUCCAACACUUGUUCUUGAAGCCUAGCUACUUCUAUAGCCUAAGAUAAGGAAACAGGCUUCAUCAUUCUAACAACCAACCUAAUUUCAUCCUUUAAACCCCCCAUAAAAGCAGACAGAAAAUAAGAUUCACCUAAUUCAGGCAUUAAUCUCUCAAUUCUUAUUCUUAAUUCCUCAAAUUCAUCUUGAUAUUCCUCUAAAGAUCCCUCCUGCCUCAGUUUCAUAAAACCCUCUACUAAAUCCUCUAGCCCUUCAUCCCCAAAUCUGCUGCAAAUUCCUUUCUCAAAUUCUUCCCAAGAAUGUACUCCACCCCUAUUCCAAUUAUGGAACCAUGCAUCAGCCCUAUCCACCAAAAACAGGCUCGCUAUUGGUACCUUUUGAUCAAUAGGAACCUUAUAGAUCUCAAAAUAUUUUUCACACCUUCUCAACCAAGCCCUAGAUUCUUUCCUAUCAAAAGUAACCAACUCUAUCUU